CCGAGGCUUGCAAUUAAAAGUAACCUACAAACAAUACACAAGGUUAUGCUAUGAAAAUAUUUAUGGGUGUAAAUAUGGGUGAAGCUUGGCAACAUUGUACCUUAGCAAAGUAAAACAACAACAACAACGACGACGACGCCGCCAUCUUUAAUUAAUUAGUUAUGGGCCGCCUGGCUAGCAGCUAAUUAGUGACCCGAGUCAAACACACCCACAGAUGCGCGCUGGCUAACAUGCUAACUAUGCUAAAUGCUAACCUGCUCACGGUGGGUGACUGCACCUCGUUAAGCUCAACAAACUGAGGAACAGUGGGACGGAGAGUGGACUGGUUAUACUGGGACCAGAGAGGCCGAGUGGACUGGUUAUACUGGGACCUGAGAGGCCGAGUGGACAUGGUUAUACUGGGACCAGAGAGGCCGAGUGGACUGGUAAUACUGGGACCAGAGAGGCCGAGUGGACAUGGUUAUACUGGGACCAGAGAGGCCGAGUGGACAUGGUUAUACCGGGACCAGAGAGGCCGAGUGGACAUGGUUAUACCGGGACCAGAGAGGCCGAGUGGACUGGUUAUACUGGGACCAGAGAGGUUGAACCAGGAGCAGACAGUGGAGGACUGACGUUCAUACAGAUGAGAUGAACCUCAAGCAAGUGUGAGCUCGAACCCGAUGCUGGAUCCAAGGUCAGAUAGACCCCACGGUGACUGGAAAAGCCUUGUGGGUCCUCUGAUGAAGACUGUUGGGCUGUUAUGAUGUCACAAGUUCAUCGCUGGUGACUGGAAAAGCUCCUUGGUGCUUCGGACAAAGAUUCUAGCCGCUGCAUCUCUCCAGAACUCUGCCAUUCCACCCCAUUCACUUCCUGUCAUCUUAUCCAGAGCCCAGGACAAGCUCAUCAAAAGCCCAUUUCUCUUCACGUCCAGAUCCUCAACUCCAUCUUCAUCUCAUCACCACCACCAGCGUCUAGACUCCAUAGGGGAGGUUCCCUAAUCUACUACGUCUUAACGACCCUCCUGGAAUAUAUGACAUCACGAUGGGGUCUAAUUUACAAAGACUUUUCACAUUUCUCAUUCUAAUGUGCACAUGUUAAUAAAUAUUCUUUCCUCUCAGAACGAGUCGCUCCUGACAGAAAUAGGAAACUACUGUAUAUAAUUAACAAAGAAUUGGGGUUGUUUUGGGUACUUAUCCAU